rnacentral:sRNA from 1 species
AAUUAUCAUAUUCGCUUUAGGUUGGCUAAAUGGCUAUAUUGGCAUAACAAAAAACAAACAAGGUGUCCCACAAGGCCGCCGGUUGUGCGAGCGAGACGGACGAACAACAACCGCCAUAAGAACGAGAUCCAAUACCAUCCACAAUCUAGCACUGAAAAAUAUGUAACCCCAUAUUACAGCAUAUGUCUUACCUAACUAUUGAAUUAUGCUGCUGACAAAUGUGUUACUUAACUAUUUAACUAUGCUGUUGAGAAAUAAAUUUAUAUAUUUUAACGCA